rnacentral:lncRNA from 1 species
UAACAAUUAACUCCAAAAUUUCUAUCUCAAAACUCUGGACAUCCAAAAAUACGAUCCAACUUCCAAUCAUCUUCAAAUGUCAUGACCGCAUAAUUUGCCCAAUCUUUGAUUAACUGGCAAGAGACCCCCCAACACUCAUGUUUUCAAGGCCGACGUGCCGGGUUGCGGAAGGAAGGGGUGAAGGUGGAGCUUGAAGAUGAUCAGAUUCUGCUGAUAAGUGAUGAGAGGAAGACAGAGUUGAAAGAUACGGACUAUACAUGGCAUAGGAUUGAAGUAGUAGUGAGAGUUUUAUGAGGAGGUUCAGGCUGCCGAAAAAUGCCAAAGUGGAUCAGGUGAAAGCAAGCAUGAAGAAUGGGGUUUUGACUGACUGUGACUGUAUAAAUGUGGAAGCUAAGAAUGCUGAUGUGAAAUCAAUUAAGAUUUCUGGUUGAUUUUGGGUUCAAUUUGACAAUCAAUCAAGUAUAGCGUGUAAUAUUUAUGGAGUUUCUCAGUUUUUCUCAGUCUAUAGGGAUGUUGUUUGGUAUGUUGUUUUGGGAAUAUGGUGGUGUGAACGAAAGAUUAUGAUUAUGAAUGUUAAUCUGAUUUUCAUGUAAGUCAUUUGCUUAAAACAAUGCAAGAAUAUUGCCUCUGGCUCUGCUUCGACCUUAUUAGCGAAAAUCGCUUUCUGGGUUUUGCAUAUACUUAAAAAUCUUUUGAUUUUUUGGGUAUUUUUUAUUUUUCUGCUUUAUUUCGUUACUUGUUAUGGGCUUUGAGAUGGG